CUCAGUCCCGCGUGUGCACUGUUUAUCGCCUGACGCCUUCAUCAUGCCUAAAGUUGUAGAAAAGAGGAAGCGUGUUGUGCUUACACUUAAGCAGAAGCUUAUAUAUUGUACAGUGUAGUGGUGUUUGGUGUAGAACCCUCUGUGUUCCCUGUCUGGACUGCUGUGUGAGGCUUACACCUGCCAGAAUACCCCUCAUGGUUUGGGAGUGACCUGGAUGACUUCCCUAAUGUCCAUGACUCAGGGUGCAGUGGUCAACUCUCAACCUGUCACCGCUACCAGUAGUUAUGUAGCUAACAUCCCAGUGGUAAUGAUCCCUCGCACCAAGAGGGCAACUGCUGUGCUCUGUUGGUUAUAAGCUUCCAGGUUAGCUUCAUCUUCUGGUAGUAUCUUGGACGACAUCCUCCCAGGACGACUCAGGGCAUGGGAAUCAGGGAGAGGAAAAGGAGGGAACAUGCUUGUGUGUGUGCAGUAAUGUGUUUUUGUUUGUAGUGUAAAUGUGUUGUUCUUUACCUAUAUGUGUAUAUCGGUUUGGGUUCUGGGUUACUUGAUAUUUUUGUUGUCUUUCUAAACCAGGAAUGGUUUUCAUUAUUGUAUUGGUUUUCUGUGAUUAGUGAUGAGUAUUUUGUGUCUUGUAAUAUAAUUUGUAAUUUGUUUUUUGUUUGUGUUGUGCAUUUGUAAAGUAGUGUGUUUAUUGAUGUGAUACUGCUGAUUAUAUGUAAUUCUUCUGAUGUGUAUGGGUGUUUAUUGUUGAGAGCAAACCUCAAUGCUUUAUUUUGAGUUUUUUGUAAUUUUGCUAUUGCUGUUUUUGAUAGUGGUAAUAUUGGAUAGGGUGGGUAAGUUAAGAUGGUUAGUACACAUGAUUUUGCUAGGUGGAGUUUAAAUUUUUUAUCUGAUUUUUCAAAUUGUCUGCAAUGCCAAUUCAGCUUUUCUCUUAUUGUGAUUUAUCUGUUUAUUAUAUCCUCUAUUGGUCAUAUGGAAUUCAAGUACGUUUGCAGUUUGAGCAUAUGUAAUUAUUUUGGUUAUUAACUGAUACUGGUGUAGUUUUAUUUAUGACUGUGGGUACAAUAUCAAAUUUGUUCAUGUUUGUUUUAAUUUUCCAGUUGUUUUCAAAAUUGUUUAUUGUUUCAAUUUCUCUUUCUAUCUUCCUUUGGAGGUAUCUUUUGUUUUUCCCUGGUUGGCAUAUAAUUUGUGUUAUAUCAUCAGCAUAAGCAAUAUUGGUACAGUGUGGUCCUGGUUUUGGUAUGUCAGAUGUGUAUAUGUUGAAAAGUGUUGGGGAUAAAUUGCUUCCCUGAGGCAUACCACUUAGUAGUGGGAAUGGAUGACCUUCAAGUUUUGUGAGUAUAAUUUUGCCUGAUCUGUUAUCUAAAAAAAAUUACUUAGCAGUAUGAUAUACAGUGGAUGUAGACAUUAUUUUGUUAAUUUGUAUUUUAACCCAUUAUGCCAAACUUUGUCAAAUGCUUUCAAUAUGUCUCUGGUUACUAUUGUGCAGAUCUUGUUUUGUGUGAGAAAGUUGGUUAUUGCUUCUGUUAAAGUUGCUAUAGCUGUGUUUGUAGAUCUGUGUUGUCUGAAGCCGUGUUGUGAAGGCGGUAUAAGGUUGUUGUUAUCUAGGUGUGAUUUGAGUCUGUUGUUUAUUAUUUUCUCAUAUAAUUUUCCUGUGACUUCUAGUAAUGAAAUUGGUCUGUAGUUGAUGGGGUUUGUAAGGAUUUUGUUAGGUUUUGGGAUUAAUUUAAUUUUUGUGUGUUUGUAUAUCUCAGGGAAGUAGCUCAUUGAUAGGGAGAUAUUAAAAAGUUCUGAUAAUUUUUGUACAGUUUUGGGGUAAGUUUUGAGGAAUAGUUUUGUUUAUUUUUUAUUGUCCUGGCAUGUUGUUUUUUUUUUAUCUUUUUAUUGUUUGCUGUAGUGUUUCUGUUGUGAUUUUUGUUAAUAGUGGGCCAGCAUUACCUAAGCAUGUUAAGUCUCUAUUGGGGAAAGGUAAAAAUUGUUCUUGGUGUGUAUUCAUGUAGCUAUUAAUUGUGACGUCUCUAUUUUGGUUGAAAUUUUGAUUUUCUUCAGGAGUUAUUUUAAAUGUAUGAUUCCAUAUGUUAACCACAAUAAACUCAACCACCUUGGCCCACAUUUUCCAACAUUCAUUAACCAGACAAGCUCCAGCUCUUCUUCAUUAUAAACUGUUAUUAUUGUGUAUAAUGUAUGGGGUGUUGUGUCCUUUGUACAUUUUGAUAUGUUUCCAGAAUGUUUUGGGACCUUUGUAUAGAUGUUUCAAUCUCUGUAUUUUACUUUCCCAGUUUUUGUUUUGUUGGGUGUAGCAUUCUUUUUUAAUAGCAGUUUGCAUUAUUUUUAGGGUUCUGUAUUUUUGUCUAGUCCAUCCAGUUUGGUUGUAAUUGUCUAUUAAGUUUUGUGCCCAGAAUUGAAAAUUUUUUAUUGUAUUAUUUAUUAUUGAUUUUUGUUCUAUUUUAUGGGUUGUGUUUGGUGUUUGCUGUUGUAACUAAGUGUGUCCAGUGUUCUAUGGCAGAGUCUAGUUCAUGUGUGGACAUGUCUGGAUUUGUGUUUAUGUAUGUUGUUUUAUCAGAGAUUUCUUGUUUAAAUUUGUCCCAAUCAGCUAGUUUUAAUAUAACGUAUGUUGUAUAAGUGUUACGUUGCCCACGUUAAAAGUGUUUCUUUGUGUUUAUUUGGACCUUAUUUGGUCUUGGUUGCAUGUGUGAUUUUAUGGCCUGGGUAGUGAUGGUGAUGAUAAUCGAGAAAUGAUUGGAAGUAGUGAGGGAACCUUGUUUUAGUUCUAUGUUAUGAAAUACUUUAUUGUUCCCAAGAAUAAUGUCAGGUGUGCUGGAGCUUGUCUGGUUAAUGAAUGUUGGAAAAUGUGGGCCAAGGUGGUUGAGUUUAUUGUGGUCAAUGAGUUUUUUUAAUAGCUUUGCCUAUGAUGUUUGUGUCGCUAUAGUUGAGAAUAGGGUGAUGUGCCUUUAGGUCUCCUAUUAUGUAAGUAGGCGAGUUUUGUGAUGUUAUUCUGUGGAAGUCUGGGAAAUGGAGGAAUUGCUUUCAGGGUGGUAGAUAUGUGGUGGCAAUGUUGAUUUCUCCUGUGUUGGUGGUUAUUGUUAUUUGUAGGAUGUCAGUAUCAAAACUAUCUGUUAUUUUGUGUUUUAUAUUUUUUUUAUUAGUAUUGCUGAUCCAUCAUGUUGUUCAUUAGAUGUGUUAAUUUUGAAAGUUGUAUAACCUGUGAUUUUUAUAGUUUUGUUGUCUUUUAAUCCAGUGCUGUUAUAAGUAGUAUGAUGUGUGGAUUAUAUUGUAGGUAUGUGUUGGUGAGUGCAGUUCUGUUGGUGUUCCACAUGUGUACGUUAUGUUGUAUAAGUGUUAUGUUGUCCAUGUUAAAAGUGUUUCUUUGUGUUUAUUUUGGAUGUUACUUUGUUUUGUUUUAGAGUUCUCUCAGCUAUUAGUCCAUUUCUAAUUUUGUUAAAUACUGAGUCAUCUGUCGUGCACCAGCAAUUGUAGACGUUGAUUUUGUUAUUUAUCAUGCUAUAGUAUAUUUCUGUUUUAGUGUAUGAAUUGUUUGUAUAGUACCAUUUGAUGUUACCUUUUUCUGUAUUUUCUUUAAGUUGUUGCAUAGUUAUAUUUGAGUUGGCUUUCCAUCCUUCGCUCUUUUUUGUGAUUAUUUGUAAUCCUAAGUCUUUUCCUUCUAUUUGUUCUAUUUCUGGUAUGUCUUCUGGUGGUGUUUGUGUGUUUUCUACUGUUGUUGUUACUGUUUGUGUGUUUGGUGUGCUUUCUUGGGAUUCUGAUGCCAGUGUUCCAGCAUGUGUAACUUGUUGUUAUUGGGUGUUAAUGUUAUUGUUAGCAUGUUCAAGAUUUGUUUUGAUGGUGGAUUUGGUGGUAGUUUGAUGUUAGAUAAAUUAUUUAGUGACAGGGCCCUGUUGAAUUCAUUGUUGUAGCUUCCUGGAUUUAUUGCAUUUUACCAUGUGUGUGGAACAUGCAUGACAUUAUUUUUGCACUUGUGUCUUUGUCAAAGGGUUGUACUUGAUUGUUAUUGGUGGUGAGGGUUUGGCUGUAUGUUUUAUUUGUGUUUUGAGUGUUUUGUUUCCAUUUUGCAUUCAUGAUGUCUUUCCUUAUUUUGCAUUUGUUUGUGAGGGUUCUGUGGGGUUUUCUGCAGUUGAUACAUUUUUUUGAUUGGGCGGUACAGUUUCUCCAGAUGUGUCCUGAAUAUUCAGAGCAAAUUUCAUAUGAUUUUGGUUUGUUGCUUUUGUUUGUAGCAUGUUGUUCAAUGGCAUAACAUUUCAUGCAGGUAAGUAUUGGGAUGAAUUGUUCUUGUUUCAUAUUGUAGUGUGGGAUUCUGAGGUGAAAGGCUAAAAUGUCUGUUUCUGUUGCCUUUUUUGCUGUGGUGGUUUCAGUGAAAACAAUUUAUAUUAUUCUUAAUCUUGGGAUCUUUUAUAACCUGUACUGUUCCUCAACCUGUCGUUGAGGACAGUGUUAAUUUUCUGAAUAUAUUCCUCCUUGUUAAUUAAGAUGAAGGCCAUUGUUUUGUCUGCGUGACAGAUGACGAUUUUCUUGUUUUCCCUUAUCUGUUUUGGCGUGAUCUCUGCUGACGAUCUUGCUGUGAUGAGACCCAUGGGAUUUGGUAGACUCAAUGACACCUCUAAAUUCAAAAAGAUAACACAUAACCCCACCGAUUCCAUCAAGAAGAAAGUCAAUGAUGCUAUCAAUACUGCCAGCACCACCUUAGGACUCUGAAAGCUUACAGGAGAACCUGACUAAGCAUAUGGAAAUGUCAAGACAUAUAAAAGAAACAACCCUCUAUGUCCUAUCAUCUCCCAAAUACCCAUGGCUAACUACAACAUUGCCAAGAAACUGAAUGAAAUACCGACACCGUAUGUGCUGAACACACACAGCCUUUCAUCAGCUGCUGACUUCCUCGAGAUUCUACGAGACGCCCUGCCUGCUGAGAACCACCUCAUUGCCUCCCGUGACAUAGAGAGCCUGUUCACGAAUGUCCCCGUUGAUACUACAAUCGAUCUCAUCCUCCAGCGAGUUUACCACAACAAAGAAACUACGCCCCUGAAAAUUCCUGAAAAUACACUGAAGACAUUACUGCAGAUCUGCACAAAGGAGGCACCAUUCAUUUGCCCUAGUAUUAAUAUGUACCAAAA